rnacentral:rRNA from 1 species
GACGAACGCUGGCGGCGUGCCUAAUACAUGCAAGUCGUGCGGACCUUGUUGAAAGCUUGCUUUUAAAAGGUUAGCGGCGGACGGGUGAGUAACACGUGGGCAACCUGCCUGUAAGACUGGGAUAACGCCGGGAAACCGGGGCUAAUACCAGAUCGUUUUUUCCUCCGCAUGGAGGAAAAAGGAAAGGCGGCUUCGGCUGCCACUUACAGAUGGACCCGCGGCGCAUUAGCUAGUUGGCGGGGUAAUGGCCCACCAAGGCAACGAUGCGUAGCCGACCUGAGAGGGUGAUCGGCCACAUUGGGACUGAGACACGGCCCAAACUCCUACGGGAGGCAGCAGUAGGGAAUCUUCCGCAAUGGACGAAAGUCUGACGGAGCAACGCCGCGUGAGUGAAGAAGGCCUUCGGGUCGUAAAACUCUGUUGCCGGGGAAGAACAAGUGCCGUUCGAACAGGGCGGCGCCUUGACGGUACCCGGCCAGAAAGCCACGGCUAACUACGUG